UACGAAGGGGGCUAGCGUUGUUCGGAAUUACUGGGCGUAAAGCGCACGUAGGCGGAUUGUUAAGUUAGGGGUGAAAUCCCGGGGCUCAACCCCGGAACUGCCUUUAAUACUGGCAAUCUCGAGUCCGAGAGAGGUGAGUGGAAUUCCGAGUGUAGAGGUGAAAUUCGUAGAUAUUCGCAAGAACACCAGUGGCGAAGGCGGCUCACUGGCCCGGUACUGACGCUGAGGUGCGAAAGCGUGGGGAGCAAACAGGG
rnacentral:rRNA from 1 species